rnacentral:rRNA from 1 species
GAUGAACGCUGGCGGCGUGCCUAACACAUGCAAGUCGAGCGAUUCUCUUCGGAGAAGAGCGGCGGACGGGUGAGUAACGCGUGGGUAACCUGCCUCAUACACAUGGAUAACAUACCGAAAGGUAUGCUAAUACAGGAUAACAUAAGAGAUUCGCAUGUUUCUCUUAUCAAAGCUCCGGCGGUAUGAGAUGGACCCGCGUCUGAUUAGCUAGUUGGUAAGGUAAUGGCUUACCAAGGCGACGAUCAGUAGCCGACCUGAGAGGUGAUCGGCCACAUUGGAACUGAGACACGGUCCAAACUCCUACGGGAGGCAGGCAGUGGGAAUAUGCACAAUGGGCAAAAGCCUGAUGCAGCAAACGCCGCGU